rnacentral:rRNA from 1 species
CAUGAAGCUGGAAUCGCUAGUAAUCGCGGAUCAGAAUGCCGCGGUGAAUACGUUCCCGGGUCUUGUACACACCGCCCGUCACACCAUGGGAGUCGGAAAUGCCCGAAGUCUGUGACCCAACCAUUAAGGAGGGAGCAGCCGAAGGCAGGUCGGAUGACUGGGGUGAAGUCGUAACAAGGUACC